CAGCAGCCGCGGUAAUACGUAGGUGGCAAGCGUUGUCCGGAAUUAUUGGGCGUAAAGGGCUCGCAGGCGGUUUUUUAAGCCUGAUGUGAAAGCCCCCGGCUCAACCGGGGAGGGUCAUUGGAAACUGGGAAACUUGAGUGCAGAAGAGGAGAGUGGAAUUCCACGUGCAGCGGUGAAAUGCGUAGAGAUGUGGAUGAACACCAGUGGCGAAGGCGACUCUCUGGUCUGUAACUGACGCUGAGGAGCGAAAGCGUGGGGAGCGAACAGGAUUAGAUACCCCUGUAGUCCCUGUCUCUUAUAC
rnacentral:rRNA from 1 species